rnacentral:ncRNA from 2 species
CUAAUAACACUAAUAUUUUCUCGUAUAACCCCGCAGCCGUUAAGGCAUGGAUAGGGCGGGGGUUUCUACAGGAAGCCUAUUCUUCCUAACUACGAUGAUAAAGACCCGCCUA